rnacentral:lncRNA from 1 species
UUAUUAUUGUUUCCAUGUCAAUAGCAAACUAUUGUUUUGAAUCUAAUGGAUCUGAACAUUCACGUCACAUCAGAGGAAUUACAAAGGACACCUAUGCUAGGUAGCAUGAAAGCAUGAAAAAUUCAUUCUUAUCACUUCCCUACUCGAGGACGAGCAGGAGUUAAGCUUGGGGAUGCUUGAUACGUCUCAAACGUAUCUAUAAUUUUUGAUGGUUUCACGCUGUUACUUGCCUUCUCUGUAUGUUUUAUGUAC